GUGCUCACUUUGGCAGCACAUACACUAAAGUUGGAAUAAUACAGAAAAGAUUCACAUGGCCCCUGUGCAAGGAUAACAUGCAAAUACGUGAAGUGUUCCAUAUUUUU
ensembl:snRNA U6 U6 spliceosomal RNA